rnacentral:ncRNA from 1 species
UGAUAGAGGUUGCGGCGUUCAUGUGUAGCGCGGGGAGGACUCCCAGGGUCCGCCGAUCCGUCCGCGAAGGGGGACGCCGCCGAAGAGAAUGACCGGCCGGGACGGUAUUCUCUGGACGCGGUGGCGAACAGCGCCGCGGCUGUCACCGGUGGGGCCGGUGGAGCGCUGUCUG